UACAGAGGGUGCGAGCGUUAAUCGGAAUUACUGGGCGUAAAGCGCGCGUAGGCGGCUUUUCAAGUCGAUUGUGAAAUCCCCGGGCUUAACCUGGGAACUGCAGUCGAGACUGUCUAGCUAGAGUAUGGGAGAGGGAAGUGGAAUUUCAGGUGUAGCGGUGAAAUGCGUAGAUAUCAGGAGGAACACCGGUGGCGAAGGCGGCUCUCUGGUCCACAACUGACGCUGAGGUGCGAAAGCUAGGGGAGCAAACGGG
rnacentral:rRNA from 1 species